GGUUUUAUCCCUCCAAUUCUCUCGGCAGGCUCGGGUUUUAUCCCACUGACCGCUUUUAUUUUCGUUGGGCAUGGGUUUUAUCCCUCCGACCUCGGCAGGCCCGGGUUUUAUCCCGCUGACCGCUUUUAUCAAUUGGGACCGAGUAUCAUCCCGCCAAUCUCGGCAGGACCGGAUUUUAUCCCGCUGACCGUGCUUUAUACCACUGACCGAUUCCCACUGACCAAUUCUUCAUACUGGGGCAAAUUAUCUUUGGAAAGUUUCUCAA
rnacentral:lncRNA from 1 species